CUGGAUUCUGAUCUUCUGUCUGUGUCCAGUUGUAUCUAUUGUCUCCUCUCUCCUCUCCUCACUUGUGGUCUAUCACUGCUGUAAGAAGGCUGAAGAACAUCCUGUUGAUCAGCAAAGACCUGACACUAGAGGUCAUCCAAGACAGAGCCAGGAUGACGAUGUGUGCUAUGCUGCUGUGGAAAUCCGUCAGAAAUCAAAGAGACCAAAGAAGAAGAAGGAACCGCAGACUUCUGACUC